rnacentral:rRNA from 1 species
GAGGGAAUUUCCACAAUGGACGAAAGUCUGAUGGAGCAACGCCGCGUGAACGAUGAAGGUCUUCGGAUUGUAAAGUUCUGUUGUCAGAGACGAACAAGUACCGUUCGAACAGGGCGGUACCUUGACGGUACCUGACGAGAAAGCCACGGCUAACUACGUG